CAGUCGCCACGGUAAUACGUAGGGUGCAAGCGUUAAUCGGAAUUACUGGGCGUAAAGCGUGCGCAGGCGGUGUUGUAAGACUGAUGUGAAAUCCCCGGGCUCAACCUGGGAACUGCAUUGGUGACUGCAACGCUGGAGUGCGGCAGAGGGGGAUGGAAUUCCGCGUGUAGCAGUGAAAUGCGUAGAUAUGCGGAGGAACACCGAUGGCGAAGGCGGCCAUCUGGGACAACACUGACGCUGAGGCACGAAAGCGUGGGGAGCAAACAGGAUUAGAUACCCGCGUAGUCCCUGUCUCUUAUAC
rnacentral:rRNA from 1 species